CUCCCCAGAAGAGUUUUCUGAGCUGUGAAGAAUAAGAGACAAUGCAGGGAAGAUUUUAAUCAUCCCUUGAUGAUAUGUGGAUAAAGACAUUUCUUCCUAAGAUUUCAAAGGCCCUCGUGAUAUUCAUUUAUUCUUACACCAGAAUGGGUGUGGGAAUUUUUUUUAAAGCAGUCUAUCUGUGAAGAAUACAGUAUUAUGAAUUUAGGGGAAAAAAUCAUUCUUUUUCUUUGGUUGGUAUUUGCUCACUUUAGAAUUUAUCACGUUUGCAGUAGGAGGAAGUGUAGCUUAUAAUGUAGAUUCAUAUGUAAACUUCAAAGCUAGGAGGAAAAAAAAAACUUGUUUCUCAGUAGUCUAACAGAUGGCCACACAGUGAAAUGGUCAUAAAAUCAUUCAAGCUUU
rnacentral:lncRNA from 1 species